GUUGAGAAGUGGAGAGAGAAAGGUGACGGUGGAGUAAAGCUAGCCAUUGUUCGUUGAAAGAUAGAGCCAGCCGUGAGUGACGGUUGGUUCUUCUGUGGAGGAGAAGACGAGAAUAACCAUAGUAUAUGCCCUUCCUCUUGGAUAAGGUAUGCAUUUCUUUUUUUAAUUUUCUUCUAAUUUUUCCCUUUUUCAUUAUUCAUUCCAAUAAUAAUUCUCUCUCUGGGCUUCUUCUUCAGCUUCUUUUGGGUCGCCUCUCUCUUUCUUCCUGCACUCCCCAAUUUUCUUCUUUCACUCCCUCAUUCAAGGUCAGUUUACUGUAUUUCCUAAUUCUUUUCCAUUUUAUGCUUUUCUCUCAAAUUUGUUUCUGAAACAAUCAAGACACUAAAAUCAUAUUUUGAAUAUUUUUUAAUUUAAAGUAUUAUUUUUGUCAUUUUUUUAAUAUUUUCCUUCUGGUCACAUGAUUGGUGAACUGAAAGCUUUGCCGAAAAGAGAUGGUGGAUAAGGGAUGAACUAAUCAUUGCGUGAAUUUCAGAACAUUACCUUCCUCUUUUGCUUUUCACCUAUUUUUUUCUCAGAUAAAAAGGUGGAAAGUUAAUCAACCUUAGCGGAAUCUUAUCAUUAAUAAUAAAUUGAUUUUUUUUAUUGAAAAUUAUUAAAAAUUGCAUUGCGAUGAAAUUGUAUGAAGGACAUUCACUUAUUCAAUAAUGAUAAUAAUAAUUUAAUUCCUCGUAUGAAAUUGUACGAAGAACAUUCUCUUUAAAUUGUUGUCUUGAAAACAUUUAUUAUGUUUAGCCUAAAAGAAUCUGAAUAAAUAAAUAAAUUUCACUUCUAAAAUCAGAAUCUACUUUAAUUCCUCGUAUCAUUCAAAGAAACUCCAGUUUGAACUCUGAAAUUGACAUAUCAACUACUCUAAUCCCUAAUGCUAGUCAAAUGAUUAAUUGACUGCUACCAGUUAAUUCAACCGGUGUUAAAAGAUCCAAUUAGGUAAUGUUCAGAAAAUUCAAGGUUUAACUGACUGUUGUAUGAAAGAUGAAUUUGAUGUUAAGGUGAUUUUCAGUGCUUUAAUUUACUCUUCGUAGAUUUCUUUAUGUCCAUUCUUUUUGCAAUCUUUUCCUUUUAUAAGAUCCAAAUUUUAAUUAAUAUUUUAUUCUCAUAUCAAUGUUUUAAAGUAGAAAAAUAUUUUUUAUUUCUCCAACUCAUCAACUUGAAUUUUAUAAUACACUAUCUGCUAUUUUAUAUAGAAAUAUUGUUAAACUAUAAAAUGACAGGAAUUGAUUUGAUGAUGAUUUGGUCUAAAAAUAACUGAACAUUCAAUAACUAAAAAAUGAGCAUUAAAACCAGAACUGACCGCUGAUGGUAAUCAGAGAUACAAACUGACCCAUCUGAGACGGAUUAAGCAUCCAAAAUUCGAAGAGCUUCCAGCCCCAAUCGCUUGCAGCAUAUAUGAAUAGACCAUUCCACUGUGCUUGAACUCGAGAACUGGUUUACAACACACAUUGUUUUCUUGUUCAACAAUUGCCCCCGAAACAUUGUAGAAUCUCAUUCAGAUAUUAAAAUGCCAAAUUUUACAAUCGAUGGAAUUACAAUAAUACGAAAGAUAGUUAAAGUUGUGUAACAAGAUCAUUCCAGAAUUAAGAAGCCACUAAUUUUUGCAUCUUUUACAACAUAUCAUGGUUCAAAGCCAUCACUCCGGACCAAUUAUUUCAAUCUGUUCUGUACAUGUAUGAGACCAUUGAAAAUAAAAGGAACAUAAAACGGACUAAAAUGUAAACAUUUUAUUUUAAUUGACAAAUGCUCUACCGAAUCAGAGAUAAAUAAAACACUACUUACCACUUACUUACUAGUUACUAGCUAAGUGCUAAGCUCUAUGAGUAUGAAGCAAAUUACGAGGCAAAUUUUGGUGUGAUGAAGUGAACAUGAAGAGGAGAACUCCAAUCACUCACUACAAAAAGGAACCGAAGAACAAACUAAAAGGCGUGCGUGAUCAAACUCCUCCUCCUCCACCGGACCGUAACUCCUCCAUCGCAGCCUUGAUCUGAUCCUGCACCAGCUCCAACCGCU
rnacentral:lncRNA from 1 species